rnacentral:rRNA from 1 species
CGAGUGGCGGACGGGUGAGUAACACGUGGGUAACCUGCCCGGAAGUGGGGAAUACCCCAGGGAAACUUGGGCUAAUACCGCAUAACAUCGCCGGAACGAGAGUUCCGGGGAUCAAAGAGGGGGUCGCAAGACCUUUCGCUUCCAGAGGGGCCCGCGCCCGAUUAGCUAGUUGGUGAGGUAACGGCCCACCAAGGCGACGAUCGGUAGCCGACCUGAGAGGGCGCACGGCCACACUGGAACUGAAACACGGUCCAG